UAGUUACUCCACUCUCCACAGCUCCACUAGCAGCAGCAGUAGAUGGGAUGGUGGAGGUAUUAAGCCUGGUAGUUACUCCACUCUCCACAGCUCCACUAGCAGCAGCAGUAGAUGGGAUGGUGGAGGUAUAAAGCCUGGUAGUUACUCCACUCUCCACAGCUCCACUAGCAGCAGCAGUAGAUGGGAUGGUGGAGGUAUUAAGCCUGGUAGUUACUCCACUCUCCACAGCUCCACUAGCAGCAGCAGUAGAUGGGAUGGUGGAGGUAUAAAGCCUGGUAGUUACUCCACUCUCCACAGCUCCACUAGCAGCAGCAGUAGAUGGGAUGGUGCAGGUAUUAAGCCUGGUAGUUACUCCACUCUCCACAGCUCCACUAGCAGCAGCAGUAGAUGGGAUGGUGGAGGUAUUAAGCCUGGUAGUUACUCCACUCUCCACAGCUCCACUAGCAGCAGCAGUAGAUGGGAUGGUGGAGGUAUUAAGCCUGGUAGUUACUCCACUCUCCACAGCUCCACUAGCAGCAGCAGUAGAUGGGAUGGUGGAGGUAUAAAGCCCAGUAGUUACUCCACUCUCCACAGCUCCACUAGCAGCAGCAGUAGAUGGGAUGGUUGAGAGUCAUAAAGCAUAAAGAAAGGGACAGAGACUUGGCAUUAUAGCCGCUGUGAGCCUGACCCCUUCCUGCACGGGCCGCAGCCAUUGUCCUUGACUCCUGGCGCGCUUCGCCCAUUAUCCGCCCAACACCUGAUUUAAAACUCAGUCUGACCAGGUCAUUCAAUUCCGGGGGCCUGCCUCUUCGUCACCAGCCAAGCUCGACUAAUGGGCCAGAAAGGGGGACAGAGCGGAGAGUGGUCUCGAGGUGGAGGGUUGAGAGAGGAGAGGCGAAGGUCUGUGGCAAGCAGCCUACAGCCAGAGUCCCAUAGUGGUGGUGGAGGGGCGGUGUGGUCUCUCUCCUAACACCUACAGGGCUGUUGACAUUGUCAUGCAGCGCCAAUCCCCUUUUUACAUCACCUUUGAUUAAAAUGAAUGGCCCGUCCCGACUGUAGGGGAGCUUAUUUCCAAUCCAUUUAUCAGGCUAGGUGUCGUGAGGCAGGGCUGCCUCUGUGGCACCUAACGCCAUGCUGAGGCCCCUAAACUCGUGACAGUUUUAGAACAGUCAUCCACGCAGGCCUGGAGGAAGGUCAACACUCCAGGCCCAAAUAAAUGAUAUCGUCUUAAUGACAGAGGGAAUUACUUUUUUCCCCCCUUCAUCACUCAUCUGACCGAGGGGAGUGGAUGGGGGAAAUUUCCCUCCAACAAUUUCACACCUGGACACUCACUACCUUAACCUAGACUGUCUGGACUGUCUGGACAAGACAAUAGUGGAUGGGAGGGAAGGCCACAAUAAAGUAGAAAACACAUUCGAAAAGCCUCUAGCGUUGCUUGAGGGGAAAUGACCAAUUGUUAUGGUCAACAUUGUGAUUAUGGCUAAAAACAGACUAAGCUUGAUAGCUAAUACAACAUUAAAACCAGGGCAUUUGUUUGGAUACUUGCAGUACAUGAGUAUUUCGUCCGUACUCAGAAACAUGUUACUCAACAUGAAUUCAGCUAUGUGGGUUGUGUUGUACAAGCAAAACCCUUUCCUAGAAUAAUCUAUUCAUGAGACUACAAUACUGAAGAUGAACACUUAAACAGCAUUAAUAUUAAAGGAACAGAUACUACUACUUCAUGUCUCUCCACCCCAUUCAGGAGGAGGAGGAGGAAAAUACAUCUGGGCAGAAACUGACCAUUUUGUAAAAUGUUCUAAAUGAAACCAUUUGAGUGAGGAAACCUGAGUAUCAAACAUUAGGUCAGUAUCCUUGAAGCUCUUAUUUCAUCAAAUAUUCAUACUGGGCUAGCGCAUGAAUUAAACAUACAGGGUAUUAGAUAACACAGCUCCUGGUUGUUAGUAAAUCAAUGGGAGAUAACACCCACUACAUCACUCGUGUCCACAUUUCCUUUUUUUAAACUCUCCUCCUGUGAAAAAAAAAACAGAACGCAUGGCCAGAUUACUUUAGCUAACUGUUGUGGUGUGUGUGAGAGA